rnacentral:miRNA from 1 species
GCAGACACAUUCCAGCCAAUCAGCAGCAGACCCUCCCUCCGAGACCUUCCCACCUCCUGGACAGCUCACUAAGAAUGCAGCUUCACAAUGAAUGUAAAAUGGAUGCUGUCCAGGAGAUGGGAGGGUCUGGGAGGGAGGGUCUGCUGCUGAUUGGCUGGAAUGUGUCUG